CACUUUUAUUUCAAUAAGACUGCGCAUAGCGCCAUCUAUUGCACACUCCCCUGCAUGUUAUUUUUUACCAAAGACAUGGACCAAUUCAAACAGUUAUUACGAUUGGAAGUAAAGCAUAAACACCACUGACAAUUAUCGCUUUUGACGUGCACAAAGCAAACACGCCGUUGACAGCACGUCGGUUGCAUCCGAUGGCCGCUGAAUAGUAAUGGCGCUGUUGCCUACAUUCCAUUCAAAUUCCGCACAUACCACUGGACAAACAAACUAAAAGAAGAAUACACUUUUAUAAAAUCUAUAGAAAAGCGCUCUAGCUACAGAAAAGUAACGCAAAGAAAGAUUCAUAGCCAAAGAGACGUUGUCGUUGUCGGUGACGGUGUCGAUGGUAAUAUAUAGUACAUAUAGUAUUUGCUUACUUGCUACUUUGUUCGGUCGAACGUUUCAGACGAUUUUCUCCACUCGCGCUGUUUGACAAAUUGUGAAAUUUGCGCUAGAAAAAUCCAAUAAAGUGUGUGUUUUGUGGAUAAUUGCGUACGCAAGUGCUUAUCAAGUGAAAUUUUGCAUUCAUUUUUUUCUUAUUUGGUUAUUGUUUGUAUGUCUCGUUAAUAUCGCGGCAUAUGCACAGCACAGCAUCGACUUUGCAAUUUUGCUGCCGCUGCAGUCGAUAGAUCUGCCCGGUAAUUGUUCGUUGUAGCGGGGAGUAAGGUACGCAUUGUGAACAAUACAAAAAAUUUUUCGAAUUGGCAUUCGCCUCCGUAUGUCCAUGCAAACAUAUGUGUAGCUGUGUGCGCGUGUGUGUGUGUAUGUGCAUUAUGCCUAUGUGUGUGGCGACAAACGCGUCAAACAAUAACAAAAAUACAGGCUGCUGCACUAAUUUCGCCCAUGCAUUGCUUGUGCACCCUCCGCCGCCACCGGCAAAAGUCCAAUGCAUUCGUAAUUCAGCUGCUCGGCGAGAUAUGUACAUCUGUUCUGCAGCCAGUUAGUGCGAAUACACAUAGUUGGAAAGCAGUAAAUUUUUAAGCUGUUGGCAUCAUCAUCAACACCAACGCCGCCUACAACCCUUUCACCAUUUACUUUUUAGUCGCGUUAGCAACUGAAAACCCGUCUCUCGAGACAUAACCAUAACCGUUACUUUGCUAAACAGACGUCAACGCCGCUUUUCGUUUUUGUUGUUGCUCAAACUUGCAGCGUUUUUCAACGAUUUUGAUUUUAUAGAGAGCAGAGAAAGGCGGGCGCUACAAAUAUUUAUGAGUGUAUAUUUGUGUGCCAGAGUCCACCACCCGCGCGCCGUCAAGCGCGAAACCACCUUGCGAAAUUUCGCACAGCUGUUGCUGUCAAUAUUUGUUAUUGUUGUUGUUGUUGUUGUCGCCAAUCUUGUUGCCAAUAACAUUGUUGAUUUCGUACGCGCAUUUAUACUUAUUAAACACACAGUAUAUGUAUAUAUAUAUACAUUUGUAUAUAGUAUAUAUAUAUAAGUGUGUUUGUUAUUGUUGUUUGUAUACAGUCAUUUUCACUGCGCUUGAUUGCGCAGACAUAACGUCGUCGUUGCUGGCGUCGCAGUCAUGGCUAUCUUUGACUUUUGUACAAUGGCAAUAACAAAAAACAGCAACAACAGCGCGAUAAAAUAAAUAAUGAUUGAAACAACAACAACAGCAGUACGAUAAAAUAAAUAAUAACAACAACAACAACAGUGGCAUUGCAACCACUAAGCGAAAUUGUCAAUGCGUCGCUAGGGAGGUGUGACGCUGCUGCGCGCCCAUACUCAACGCUCGAACACAAGCAUACAAACAUAUUUGUAAAUGUCUGUCGAUAACGCCAACCCGUUAGCAAGCACCUUCAACACCCAGCGCCCUUACUCCGCCUACAACUUCGCCCAACGUGCUCGUCAUUGCACGCGCUGCCGCCGCCGUCGCCGUGUUCAGCGUCGUGUACACUGCCGCUGCGCCGCUUGUUACGCGUUUCACUUGGCGCUGCGCCGCGACUGCGUUUGCCGGUUUUUCAUUUUGCGAAUUUUUACCUUUUCGUUUAAAUUGUGAACGCGCGCCCGUGAGCGUGUGUUUGUGUGAGUGCGCGCUUAUUUUCCUCAAAUCGCUUUUGAUUACGCAUAUGCGCAUCUUUAGCGCUUGUCAGUUGCGUUUGGCAAGCGUGUUGAAUUUGUUGCAAAUUCGUGAUUUUUUUUGCUUUGCCCCUCAAGUAGUGUGUGUGCGUGUAAACGUUGCGCAUUCAAACCAAUUAAAAGUGAAACUCAAAAAUUGCGCAAAUUUUUUAAAUAUUUUUGCAUUAAUUUUCUUAUAUUUAAUUUUUUUUUGCAAAUUGUUACAGUGUCUCUCUAGUGUGUUCGUGUGUGUAUGUUUUAUGAAGUGUAACCCCGUUAAAUAACAAAAUAAAAUAAAUUUUCAUGGCUUGUUAACAAAGUGAAAAGAAAUUGUAAAAAAAAUUUAAAAAAAAUUGCCUAUAAAGUGCAAACAGUGCAUAAGUGAUCCCCAAAGCUAACUUAAAACGCCGUUUUGUUCCUCACAUCAAAAGUAGUUGUCAGUGAAAGAAAAGGCGCUUCUACAACAUGGAAACUGCAUUGGAUGUACUGUCACGUGCUGCCACAAUGGUGCAGGAUAAUGCAAACGGUACGUACCAAUUUAUAUACCAGUUUGUGGUUUUUACCGUGUAUUUCCUCUCAGGUUAGUGGGUAAGUUCCAGCGUCAGCACGCAUAUUUAUAAUUAAAAAAAAAAAGUAUUUUUUAUGUUUAUAUAACAUACAUAAUAAAAAAAAACAUAUAUACUAAAUAAUACAUAUAUACCUUAAAUCUGCCUACAAAAAUCAUAAAUAAACCAUCACAUCAGACAAUUGAUCAAUCAAAGCCGGUUUCUAUUUACAUAUGAAAAACACACAGCUAGCGAUCGCUCAGCGCGCUUCAUAUCGACUGCCGUCUUCAUAUUUUAAAUUAGUCACACUUUAUGCUAAUAAUUAAAUUAUUACUAAAUUUGGUGAGCGUUUAUUAGUUUUAUGGCUUCGCUACUUUUCCAUUUUUUUACUUUAUUUAAUUUUUUAUUUAUUUUUUAUCACUUCGAAUUUUGUAUUAUUUGUUGUUUUUCGGUUUCUUGAAUUCGAGGUUUCACCACAAAUGCUUUGAAUUCAUAUUAAAAUUAUAACCAUAUUUAGUAAGCGCGUGUUUGGUUAAUUAGCAAUGACCAAACCAAAUAUGCAAAAACAAUCACAAUUUAUAGACGAUCUUCGAAUAUUAUCGAGAAACAUAAAAUAUUUGAGAUAAGCAAACAUGUAUAUGAAAAAAUGCUAUUUGGGUGACUCACUAGCACCGCACGAUUUUCAGCAUGGAACCAAACUGCACAGUGGAAAUUAGUAAAAAAAAAAAAUAAGGAAUGAAGCGCUAUAUUCUGCUAGAAAAACGUAUUUGGAAAAAGGGAUAAUUCCUCGAUCGAUUUUCACAAUUUUGCCAGUAAGCUACACUUUAUCCAAGAUUAUUCGUUAUACGUUCCCUUAACUUUGCUAAGAUAUCUCACAUAUUAAUCCAUGUAUCCGGUUUAAAUCCCACCAUAUAUUUGAAAAACCUAUAAUAAGCCAUAUGGAAGCAAGGGCAGUUAUGACCCGAUUUUAACCAUUUUUGGUACAGAGAAAACAAAUUCAUAUUGGUCCGCCAUUUUGAAUUUUUAAAGAGUAAUAGAAAACUUUCCAAAAAAGUGUCCGCCUUAUUGGAUUCGCCACUUUGCAUUUUGAAAAAACUUACGGCGGAUUCGUAAUCCGUGACCACGAAAACACCAGAGUAGAGAGUUUCAAGCGAAACCGAUGUAUUUUAGAAAACGCGGUCCGCUAUAUUGUUUUUUGGGUGUUAUGUCAAAUUCCUGUCUUAUGGAAUUAAAUGGACCUCAAAUUCGGAUUCAGUGAUAUCAAAAACAUUUAAUACAAAUAGUAAGACCCCCUAUGUUUCCGUUCCCAUGACAGUAGGUUCUAAGU